rnacentral:RNase_P_RNA from 1 species
AGAGCAGGCUGGACGGCCGCCUUCGUUCCGGGCCAUGUGUCCGAAAUGAGGGAGGAAAGUCCGAACUCCAAAGGGCAGAGCGGUCGCUAACAGCGACCCCGAGUGAUCGGGGGAAAGUGCCACAGAAAACAGACUACCUCGUGUCCGAUUCGUCGGGGCGGGGAAAAGUUGCAAUGGUGGGGUAAGAGCCCACCGCUCGCCGUGGUGACAUGGGAGGCAUGGUAAACCCCGCUCGGAGCAAGACCAAAUAGGUGUCGUUUUCCCGAGUUUUCGGGAAAAAGGGUAGCCCGCCCAAUCUCGCUUGCGAGGACGAAACGGGUAGGUCGCUCGAGCCUGGUGGCAACAUCCGGCCCAGAUAAAUGGUCGUCACCUUGUUGUGGCGCUCCGGCGUCGCUGCAAGGCACAGAAUUCGGCUUACAGGCUUGCUCUGGAA